AGGAUGAACGCUGGCGGCGUGCCUAACACAUGCAAGUCGAACGUCCUGUCUCGCAAGAGGCAGGGAGUGGCGGACGGGUGAGUACCACGUGGGUCAUCUACCGUGAGGUGAGGAAUACCGGCGAGAAAUCGCCGACAAGACCGCAUAGCCUCGGUGCAAGUCGAGGAAAGCUCUCUCGAGAGAGGGAGCGCCACACGAGGAGCCUGCGCCCGAUUAGCUAGCUGGUGGAGUAAUGGUUCACCAGGGCGACGAUCGGUAGCUGGUCUGAGAGGACGAUCAGCCACACUGGGAUUGAGAACGGCCCAGACUCCUACGGGGGCAGCAGUGAGGAAUUUUCGUCAAUGGGGGCAACCCUGAACGAGCAACGCCGCGUGCAGGAAGAAGGUUUUCGGAUCGUAAACUGCUUUUCUCGGGAAGAGAACGGACGGUACCCGAGGAAUCAGCCCCGGCUAACUACGUGCCAGCAGCCGC
rnacentral:rRNA from 1 species